rnacentral:sRNA from 1 species
UUUUAGCCCUGCUAUCCACUGCAAUCUUUUAUGUUUUUUCUUAAAAACAUAAAAGAUUGCAGUGGAUAGCAGGAAUAGCU